GUCGCUGACGCCGGCGCGGAGAAGAAGGCCGAGCGACUCGCUCUUAGGGUUGGCGAGAACCUCUUCAAUUUCAUGCAGUCCUUCUGCGGGAUUGACGGAAGCUGGCUCAUCGUGCCCAUGGAUAUCCUUGACCGGUGGUUCAAGAAGUUCCAGGAGCGAGCCCGGAAGGAUCCCAGUUACCUCAAAGGUUUUGCCUUGUGACAGACAGGUGCAACAACUUGAAAGACACAAAGAUAUUGACAAACACAUAAACCAUCAUUUCUUAUUACGAGAUGAAGAGGAUUCUGGUGAAGAAGGAUUAUAGAAGUUAUCUCUAGAUCACGAG